rnacentral:rRNA from 1 species
CGGAGAAGGAGCCUGAAAAACGGGUACCACAUCCAAGGAAGGCAGCAGGCGCGUAAAUUACCCAAUCCUGAAACGGGGAGGUAGNGACAAGAAAUAACAAUACGGAACCUUAUGGUUUUGUAAUUGGAAUGAGUMCAAUCUAAAACCUUUAACGAGGAUCAAUUGGAGGGCAAGUCUGGUGCCAGCAGCCGCGGUAAUUCCAGCUCCAAUAGCGUAUAUUAAUUUUGUUGCHGNUAAAAAGCUCGYASUUGAAGAUAUGAANGCGUGAACCAGAGUNUUGCUCAGGUUUACNUCUUCGCUUUUCGCAAAGUCACCCUUCCGCAUUAAUUUUGCGGCUGGGCUGGGUUGCGUUGUUUACUGUGAACAAAUUAGGGUGCUCCAAGC